rnacentral:rRNA from 1 species
CGCGUAGGCGGAAUAUCAAGUUAGAGGUGAAAGGCCUGGGCUCAACCUAGGAACUGCCUUUAAAACUGAUAAUCUAGAGUCCGGAAGAGGAUGGCGGAAUUCCUAGUGUAGAGGUGAAAUUCGUAGAUAUUAGGAAGAACACCGGUGGCGAAGGCGGCCAUCUGGUCCGGUACUGACGCUGAGGCGCGAAAGCGUGGGGAGCAAACA